ACUAAUGCUAUGUCGGCUUAUUCCCAAAAACUUUUAUCACAAAUACUUUUACUAUGUGGAGUCAUUACUCUUCAUGGGAUUAGCAUAUGAUUCUUUUUAUAUCUUUUAUUUCAUUGCUAUGAUGAUAGAUGCAGGAGAGUAAAUCACAUUAGAUCAACGAGUCUUUAUUAUAUAACUCGCGCAAUCAAUUACAAGGAUUGAUAGAUCUCAAAGAAAAAA
rnacentral:lncRNA from 1 species